rnacentral:rRNA from 1 species
AUACGUAGGUGGCGAGCGUUGUCCGGAAUUACUGGGUGUAAAGGGCGUGUAGGCGGGGAUGCAAGUCAGAUGUGAAAUACCGCAGCUUAACUGCGGGGCUGCAUCUGAAACUGUGUUUCUUGAGUGCUGGAGAGGAAAGCGGAAUUCCUAGUGUAGCGGUGAAAUGCGUAGAUAUUAGGAGGAACACCAGUGGCGAAGGCGGCUUUCUGGACAGUAACUGACGCUGAGGCGCGAAAGCGUGGGGAGCAAACAGGAUUAGAUACCCUGGUAGUCCACGCCGUAAACGAUGGAUACUAGGUGUAGGAGGUAUCGACCCCUUCUGUGCCGGAGUUAACACAAUAAGUAUCCCACCUGGGGAGUACGGCCGCAAGGCUGAA